UGCCGCUGAGAUGUUUCCUAGCUGUGCACAGAAUUCACUCUCCUACUGGAGGGCUCUGACUGAAAGCUCUGAUGCGGCAGGCCUUCUCUUGACACUUGGUUAAGGUAUGCCUCUCACAUCUGUAUGCCCACAUCUGCUCUCCUCCCUCCCUCCUUCUCAGCACUUAGCCCUCUGAUAUGGUUUGCUGGCGUCCCCACCCAAAUCUCAUCUUGAAUUGUAGUUCCCAUAAAUCCCCACGUAUUGUUCGAGGUACCCCGUGGGAGAUAAUUGAAUCAUGGGGGUGGUUACCCAGAUGCUGCGGUUCUCGUGUUAGUGAGUUCUCGUGAGAUCUGAUGGUUUUAUAAGGGGCUUUUCCCCCUUUUUCUCGGCACUUCUCCUCGCUGCCGCCACAUGAAGAAGGAUGUGUUUGCUUCCCCUUCUGCCAUGAUUGGAAGUUUCCUGAGACCCCUCCAGCCAUGCUGAACUGUGAGUCAAUCAAACGUCUUUCCUCCAUAAAUUACCCAGUCUCGGGUAUGUCUUUAUUAGCAGUGUGAGAAUGGACUCACACAUUCUCCUAAUGUAGUAUACAUGUGUUUGCUCAUUUGUCACCAUCUCUCCAUCUCUAGUCUCUAGAAUAUGAGAUCUGUAAGAACAGGGACACCUAGAAUACGAGAUCUGUAAGAAUAGGGACAUUGUCUGUAUCAGGUGUUCAUGGCUCAAUCCCAGCACCUGGAACAGCAUGAGGCACCUGGCAGGUGCCUGACAAACAUUUGCAGGGAAUAUGUGUGCAUGAACCUGCAUGGGCAGGAACAGGUGCAUAGGAACAUGGAUUGUGGACGUGCAUGUAUGUGCGUGCAUAUGUAUACCACUAUGUAUACGUAGCUUAUUGUGUCUUUGCAGUGAGGUUUUCAAACCUCUGUCUUGUUUCCAGGAUUUCCUGAAGACACCAUCCCAGUCAAGUGGUCUGCCUCAUACUGAGCCACCAGACCACCCAGCAUGUCCUCACCCGCGUGGACAGAUGACAGGGGGCUCUGAGCAUGCCCCAGUGCACCUUACGCACCUGUGAAGGUUGGGAGCCUGAGUGCAGCUCCUGUGGCACUGCCCGUGGCCAGGGAGAUGCCUCCUCAGUGCUCCUGACCCUCGGUGGAGGACCGGCCAGCGUGUGUGCCGACAGUGUGUCCACACAGGUGUGCUGCGCCCAAUGGGCAAGUCGGAAACAAAGGAAAAUGCUCUCUGAAGGAAAAGGCAAAGCAAUUUGGAUUUCUGCGAGAAAAUGAGACUGCAUGUGGCACUGUAAAUACCCUUGCUGCUGAACUUCUCGCUCCCCCCAGAUACACCCUUCAUAUUGACAUGUCUAGAACCUUAAACUGAACCAAGUUGAAAAGUGAGAUUAAUUAGGGCUGAGUUAACAGUUAACACAUACAAUGAAAUAUUGAAUAAGGCUUACUGAGCAAACAAGAAUAUACAGAAGUGGAGGAGACAAAGAGGAUAUUAAAAAUGCAGACAGUGAUGAGGCAGAUAGCUGGGACAAAUAAUGAAAAAUAGUAAAGGAGAUAAGGCAGAUAUUGGAGGAGCAAAGAGUCUCUGAAAUAGAUAUCGGUAUUGAAAGAUGCUAAACACGCUUCUAAAGAGACUUUCUAGCCGACACAGGGAGCUCACUGAUGGAUGAAGUAGAAACAUUUUUAAAUGGAAUCAAACAGGGCAAAGCGGGAGAAGAAAAAGAAGUAGGUAAACCAGUAAAUUAACUUUUCUCGUGUGUGCUGUGUACUAUUUGUGAGUGAGCAAUGAACGCUGUGGCUCCCUGGAGGGGCUGUGGUGGGAAGUUUCACUGCGAUCAAGUAGAGGUGGUGCCUUUGGACCUCUUCUCCUGAACCUGCAGGGAGAGGCGCAGAAUAUUCACAAGGUGAAGAUGCAACAAUUCAAAUGAGUGUCCAGGUUUUCAGGGUGGUUGCUAAACCCCAAAAGACCGAUAGCUUCGGGCAAAAGACUGCAGAAAGAACAGCUUUACAUUUUUACGGAAGCAAUGGGAAAUAUACCCUGUAAGCCUUGAAAAAUUCCCGAAGGGAUCCAAAGGCUGUUACACAGGGAUGCCCGCUUCUGGACAGAAGUGAUUCAUGCAGGAUGAGAACCAUGACCACAGAAGAUUUUGUGCAUGUGGUUAUUUCAAUAUUUAAUUUAAGUGUAUGCAUGAGUGUUCAGGAUAAAAAUGCUUGGAGUGUACUUUAAUUCCAUUAAAAAUGUAUACAUUAUUCAUGUCCUAUGGACUGUCCACUGUGUGACUCAGAGAGCUGAGGGGGUAGAAAUAUAUUCAUUCAUUCACUGUCUCCUUAAAUAUUUACUGAGCACUUGUUGCCCGUUGAAUAAGUUGUUGUUUUAGGUUCCUCAUGGUAGCUGUGCAGGAAGGGUGCAGAGUGGCCUGAGGGGCUAUUGGGAAAGUCCACCUUGGGUUGAGGGAUCUGGGAGGGCUCCCUGGAGGAGGUGGUGUUGGACUACAGCGAUGGGAACAUAAAGGAGCUGGAGAGAGAUUUGGGUGCCAGUCAGCACAAGAAAGGCCCACACAGAGAAAGUCAGGCUGGGGCGAGAGUGAGCCCCCCAAGCUGAGAGCUCAGCCUGAGAGCAUGGGAAGCCAUCCAGGAGCUGAGAAGCCAGGCUGGGUCUGACCCCACUGAUUCAGAUCCCUCUGUGGCCUUGGGAAAGGCCAGAGACAGGGCCGCAGGUGGGGGCUUUGGUGAAGGGAGCGAGAGUGUGAGCCAGUGCCACGUAGAGAGGACAGACGCAGGGAUGCCAGCCAGGGUGCCGUCGGCCAAGAAAGGAAGGUCCAGCAGGCACAGUGUCAGAGGAGGGUCCCAGAGGAAGGCACUGGGAACAGUCCUGGCCCUCAAAAUGUCACUGUCUGAGGGUCUUGACCUCUGGCUUGUGAGCUCACAGAGGGCAGCGCCCUUGCACUCACCUUCCUGUUGACCUGCAGGGCCAAGCAUUGUGCCGGACAUAGGGGUGAACAGGCACAUGCUUCCCACCUGUCAGGGAGAUUCUUGCUCUCCUGGCUCUGCCCCACCCCUGGGGGCUCUGCCAGCUCCUCGGAACCCUGAGUCCAGGGCAGGGCACGGUCUCAGGUCUUAGCCUGAUGACGUAGUACAGGCUCUAGGCCCCAGGAGGGACAUGGCACUUCCUGCAUCGACUCUGUCACUGGUCUCCCCAGGGCUUCCCUCCCCAAGCCUCAGGGGCUGUGGGGUACCCCAUCCUCUCCACAGAACACGUGCACAGGCCUCCAGGAGAUGGUUAAUAGAACGGAGAGGUUUUAGGGAAGUUUAUUUCUAUAGCUCUUACAUUUAUUUAUAUUUGUCAAAUAUGUUCCCAUCACUAAAAUCUCUUUGGAGCAUUUUCAAAAAUUAAAGAAUUGCGUCUAAAAAUACUGACCUUGAUGUUCAGUGUGCAUGGGUAACUCUCCAGGCCCAGCAACAUCAAGAGGCAGAUGUGACAGCAGCCGUGGCUGCUCAGGGGGCCGGGAAUGCGGGAAAGGGGUGGCUGUCAAACAGUCUUGACAAGCGGCUGAAUGUGACUGUGUCGGAUUUGGAAAGUGCAGCCUGAGAAUUUGAAAUCCAUUCACUCCCCACCCCCAAGCGUUUUUUCAUGUAUUCGUUCAUUCAGCACACCUUGAAUGAACACUCUUUUAUUUGCUACCUAUUCAGGGACACUACACAGGCCCGUGACCAUCACACGCCCAGCCUGGCCCCGUGCUGUGCCUGAGCAGAGGACUGUUGGCAGAUGGUUCACUUCCACCCUCCAUGAUAAAUGCUGAGAAAAGAAAGAUCAAGGGCUUCAGAGCCCACUGGAGGGAAUUCAUACAGCCGGGGGCCCAGGAAGCUGCUAAGGAAACUGCCUGGACGGCAGGGUGGCCGUGACCACGGGGACGGGGAGAAGGACCCAGAGGAGCUGAGGAAUCCUUGCUGUGGAAGGCACCAUAUGAGCUGCGUGAAGUCAGAGUCAAAAGCAAACCCGUCUCUUCUUGACAGUGGGACCCAGGAGGCAGGACAACCUGCCAGAGAGGCUGAAGGAGGUUCCCUCAGGCUGGAUCCUCGACAAGAAAAAGGAAGAGGGUCUGCCUGAUUCCCUCGCCAACAACAGCUGGUCUUCCAGAAGUCAGCAAUCUCUUGUCCCUUGUCUUCAAAAGCCCAUGGAGCUGGAGGCAGGCAGCUGAGGUCAGGAAGAGAAGGUGCGACCCAGUCCAGGAAGGCUGAGUCCUCGUGAACCCUCAGGGCUGGGGUGAGGGGCCAGUGCCCGGCCCAGACACCAGCACAGCCCUGCAGUGGGAGUUGAUCUCAGCAGAUGGACGGGCACCGCCCAGAGGAUGGACUGGUCAGCACCGCCCGGAGGAUGGACCGCUCAGCACCGCAGUGGCCGCUUGGCCUAAUUUGCCACCUGAAGAGCCGCCAGGUCUCCAGUGACUCUAGCACCAUGGACAGGAGAGGAGCAGGGUGACCUGAGGGUACAGAGAAGGUUCUGCUGUAAUCAAGUUCCCCUGCCUGGUCAGAGGGCUCAGAGGUUUGAGAGGGGAGGGAUUUCCUUUUAAAGCUGCAGGAUCCCUGUGGGUCCAGAAAGAAACACAGCCAUGGCGGGCAUCCCAUGGAGGGUAGUGACCAGGAGCAGGACAAAGGUGGAAGGUGGGUGGAGCCCCCACAUGGGCCUCAGGUCACAUUGGACAUUUCCUCAGCAAGUGUCACCUGGGUGGUGACGAAUGGGGGAGGAGAACAGAUGGAAUGCGGAGAGUAGCAGUGUGAAGCUGCACCGCCUGGUCACCACUCGAGAUACACAGGGUUUGCUCUGCCUGAGGAGCACACGCUGGCUGCAGACACGGGGCAACCACGUGAGAAAGGUCAGACCCAGGCCCACUCGCCUUCCAUAUGCAUCUUAGGGACGGGGAUGCCUGCGCCAGCAGCAGCCUUGCUGCCCCUGCGUCCCCCAGUGCACCUGCCAGGGCAAAGCCAACAGGCAGUGCCAAGGACCUGAGGGAGGAGGUGGGCUUGACUUCGAGGCAGGGCACAGACACCAGACCACGUGGAGGAGCAGCUGAAACAGGGCCGGUGGCAGCAGCCGCCUGUGAGACGUGCCAGCCGGUGAGCCUUGUUAGUUUACCAUUGCCACGGCAAGACCCAGAAGUUACUGCCACUUCCCACGGUAAAAUCCCAAUGACCCUGAGGUUUCUGCUCCUUUUCUAGAAAUUUCUGCAUAAACCAACCCCUAAUUAGCAUGUAGUUAAAAGUGGGUGUAAUUAUGAUGCGGAGCUGCCUCUGAGCUGCUCUUCUGUGCACUCUGCUGUCCUGGGGCAGCCCCUCUGCUGCCGCU
rnacentral:lncRNA from 1 species